rnacentral:rRNA from 1 species
CCCACCUAGUCUUCGAUGGAUAGGGGUUCUGAGAGGAAGGUCCCCCACAUUGGAACUGAGACACGGUCCAAACUCCUACGGGAGGCAGCAGUGAGGAAUAUUGGUCAAUGGGCGAGAGCCUGAACCAGCCAAGUAGCGUGAAGGAUGACUGCCCUAUGGGUUGUAAACUUCUUUUAUAAAGGAAUAAAGUCGGGUAUGCAUACCCGUUUGCAUGUACUUUAUGAAUAAGGAUCGGCUAACUCCGUGCCAGCAGCCGCGGUAAUACGGAGGAUCCGAGCGUUAUCCGGAUUUAUUGGGUUUAAAGGGAGCGUAGAUGGAUGUUUAAGUCAGUUGUGAAAGUUUGCGGCUCAACCGUAAAAUUGCAGUUGAUACUGGAUAUCUUGAGUGCAGUUGAGGCAGGCGGAAUUCGUGGUGUAGCGGUGAAAUGCUUAGAUAUCACGAAGAACUCCGAUUGCGAAGGCAGCCUGCUAAGCUGCAACUGACAUUGAGGCUCGAAAGUGUGGGUAUCAAACAGGAUUAGAUACCCUGGUAGUCCACACGGUAAACGAUGAAUACUCGCUGUUUGCGAUAUACGGCAAGCGGCCAAGCGAAAGCGUUAAGUAUUCCACCUGGGGAGUA